rnacentral:lncRNA from 1 species
UCUUUAUGUCUAGAAGCCUUACCUUGUCAACCCAUUGAGUUUAUUUUUCAUCUCCAAUUUCUGCAAAUUGCUUCAUAAGUAGGCUAAUCUUAGUUCUCAGUUAUGCUAAUUCUUAACCAUUUACUCAUUUAAUGCCCUCUGCUCACUGGAAGCACUAAUAGCAUAAGUAUCAACUGAUCUAUUUUCUCCCAAGUAUGCCACCCUCGAUUGGUUUUAGUGAUCUAGUCUAAAGUUUUUGAAGCAUGCUCCAAAUAAAGACUCA